rnacentral:rRNA from 1 species
GAUGAACGAUGGCGGCGUGCCUAAUACAUGCAAGUCGAACGAAACUUCUUUAUCACCGAGUGCUUGCACUCACCGAUAAAGAGUUGAGUGGCGAACGGGUGAGUAACACGUGGGCAACCUGCCCAAAAGAGGGGGAUAACACUUGGAAACAGGUGCUAAUACCGCAUAACCAUAGUUACCGCAUGGUAACUAUGUAAAAGGUGGCUAUACUACCGCUUUUGGAUGGGCCCGCGGCGCAUUAGCUAGUUGGUAGGGUAAAGGCUUACCAAGGCAAUGAUGCGUAGCCGAAUUGAGAGGUUGAUCGGCCACAUUGGGACUGAGACACGGCCCAAACUCCUACGGGAGGCAGCAGUAGGGAAUCUUCCACAAUGGGCGAAAGCCUGAUGGAGCAACGCCGCGUGGGUGAAGAAGGUCUUCGGAUCGUAAAACCCUGUUGUUAGAGAAGAAAGUGCGUGAGAGUAACUGUUCACGUUUCGACGGUAUCUAACCAGAAAGCCACGGCUAACUACGUG